AUUGAACGCUGGCGGCAGGCCUAACACAUGCAAGUCGAACGAGUGGCGGACGGGUGAGUAAUGUCUGGGAAACUGCCCGAUGGAGGGGGAUAACUACUGGAAACGGUAGCUAAUACCGCAUACUAUCGGAUGUGCCCAUAUGGGAUUAGCUAGUAGGUGGGGUAAAGGCUCACCUAGGCGACGAUCCCUAGCUGGUCUGAGAGGAUGAUCAGCCACACUGGGACUGAGACACGGUCCAGACUCCUACGGGAGGCAGCAGUGGGGAAUAUUGCACAAUGGGCGCAAGCCUGAUGCAGCCAUGCCGCGUGUAUGAAGAAGGCCUUAGGGUUGUAAAGUACUUUCAGCGAGGAGGCGUUACUCGCAGAAGAAGCACCGGCUAACUCCGUGCCAGCAGCCGCGGUAAUAC
rnacentral:rRNA from 1 species